rnacentral:rRNA from 1 species
UACGUAGGCAGCGAGCGUUGUUCGGAAUUACUGGGCGUAAAGGGCGCGCAGGCGGCCUGCCUUGUGUGCGGUGAAAGCUCCUGGCUUAACUAGGAGAGGUCCGUGCAAACGGGGAGGCUUGAGCGUCGGAGAGGGGCAUGGAAUUCCGGGUGGAGCGGUGAAAUGCGUAGAGAUCCGGAGGAACACCAAUGGCGAAGGCAGUGCCCUGGCCGACGGCUGACGCUCAGGCGCGAAAGCGUGGGGAGCAAACAGG